rnacentral:rRNA from 1 species
CUAUAUCUGAAACUGGAAAUAUCGGCAUAGACUCUAUCCGUUCCGUUUAUGACAUUUUACCUAUGCAGAGUAAAAACAGCCUGAUGGGAAGGCUCGCUCUCGGAGGAAUAGAAGAACAGGAAAAAAAGGACCAGGCCUCACGGCGCAAAUGGACCUUGGCCGGUAUGAUCGGCAUGGGCGCCAUCCUUUCGGUCUGUCUGGCGCUACUCUAACACGACAAAAAAGUGGCUUCGCGAAUACAGGAGUUUCGCGAAGCCACUUUUUGUAUGCGUAAAAGGAAAUGCCGUACAGAGUUAUGCGCGCAUAGCCCGCAUGGAAUUGAGGACGGCCAGGAUGAGGACGCCGACAUCACCGAAGACGGCUUCCCACAUGCCGGCAAUACCGAGAGCCCCGAGGAUAAGGAAGAGACCUUUAAUGCCAAUAGCGAAGACGAUAUUCUGCGUGGCAAUAGCCCGCGUCGCUUUAGCAAUGUUCAUAGCUUCCGGAAUCUUCGACGGUUCGUCCGUCAUGAGGAUGACGUCGGCGGCUUCGAUGGCGGCGUCUGAGCCGAGGGCACCCAUGGCGAUGCCUACGUCAGCCCGGGCCAGUACCGGUGCAUCGUUGAUGCCGUCGCCGACGAAGGCCAGUUUUUUGCCGGGUUUCUUCGCCGCGUCGAGUUCUUCCAAACGUUCUACCUUUUCUGCCGGCAAGAGCUGGGCAAAGCAUUUGUCCAGGCCCAGCUUCUUGGCAAUAGCCAUGGCGAUGGCUUUGCUGUCGCCUGUGAGCAUGACCGUUUGGGAAACGCCUUUUUUCUUCAGCUCUGCAAUAGCCUUCUGGCUGUCUUCUUUGACUUCAUCGGCAAUGACCAGGCAGCCCAUAUAGGUACCGUCGACGGCUACAUAGACCUUGGUACCCGUUUCUUCAUUUUCCGUGAAAGGAACGGCUGCUUCCUGCAAGAGGCGGGCGUUGCCGGCGAGGAUUUCCUUACCCUGCCAGGUGGCGCAAAUGCCGCGGCCGCUCUUUUCGCAGUACGCUGCAAGUUCACUGCGGUCCGGUGUGCUGCCGUAGGCUUCCAUAAUGGAUGUGGCAAUGGGGUGGCGGGAACCGCAUUCGGCAAGAGCUGCGUAGUGGAGGAGUGUAUCCUUGCUGACACCGGCUGCAGUAGCGAUAUUUGUUACCUCAAAGGUACCCUUUGUAAGCGUACCGGUUUUAUCGAAGACGAUCGUAUCGACCUGGGCCAAGGCUUCCAGGUAGUUGCUGCCCUUGACGAGAAUGCCCUUGCGCGAUGCUGCGCCAAUGCCGCUAAAGAAGGUCAGGGGAAUGGAAACGACCAGGGCACACGGGCAAGAGAUGACGAGGAAGACGAAGGAGCGCAUGAUCCAGUCUGUCCAGACACCGCCAAAGAAAAGAGGCGGUACGGCAGCCAGGAAGACGGCACCGAUGACGACAGCUGGCGUGUAGUAACGGCAGAAACGGGUAAUGAACCGUUCCAUGGGCGCCUUGCGGGCGGCUGCGUUUUCUACGAGAUCGAUGACCUUGCUGGCUGUUGAUUCGCCAAAGCUGUGGGUCGUUUCGAUUUCCAGCAUGCCGUCUGUGGAAAUGCAACCCGACAGGGCUUCGUCGCCGGCUUCUACGCGGCGCGGUACGGCUUCACCGGUCACCCGAGAAAAACCCCUAGGCAGCCGCCCGGGGCCCGUACCGCAAACCGACACAGGUGGGUGGGUAGAGUAUACCAAGGCGAUCGGGAGAACCAUGGUUAAGGAACUCGGCAAAAUCACCCCGUAACUUCGGGAGAAGGGGUGCCGCCUCGGGUGAUGGGACCCAGCUCCCGGAGCCCCGGGCGGCCGCAGCGAAUAGGUCCAAGCGACUGUUUACCAAAAACACAGGACUCUGCUGAAGCCGUAAGGCGACGUAUAGGGUCUGACGCCUGCCCGGUGCCGGAAGGUCACGCGGAGGAGUUAGCCGCAAGGCGAAGCCCCGAAGCCAAGCCCCGGUAAACGGCGGCCGUAACUAUAACGGUCCUAAGGUAGCGAAAUUCCUUGUCGGGUAAGUUCCGACCUGCACGAAAGGCGUAACGACUUGGACGCUGUCUCAACCAUGGCCCCGGCGAAAUUGCACUAGUCGUGAAGAUGCGACUUACCCGCAGAAGGACGGAAAGACCCCGUGAACCUUUACUGCAGCUUGGCAUUGGCCGCCGGUCCGUCGCGUAGAGGAUAGGUGGGAGACCGUGAACCCGGGACGCCAGUCCCGGGGGAGUCGCCCUUGGAAUACCACCCCCGACGAACUGGCGUCCUAACCCGCGGCCGUGACCCGGCGCGGGGACCGUGCCAGGUGGGUAGUUUGACUGGGGCGGUCGCCUCCCAAAGAGUAACGGAGGCGCGCGAAGGUCUGCUCUGGGCGGUCGGCAACCGCCCGUCUGAGUGCAAGAGCAUAAGCAGGCCUGACUGCGAGACGUACAGGUCGAGCAGGUGGGAAACCAGGCUCUAGUGAUCCGGCGGCCCGGCGUGGAACGGCCGUCGCUCAACGGAUAAAAGGUACUCCGGGGAUAACAGGCUGAUCUUCCCCAAGAGUCCACAUCGACGGGAAGGUUUGGCACCUCGAUGUCGGCUCAUCGCAUCCUGGGGCUGGAGCAGGUCCCAAGGGUACGGCUGUUCGCCGUUUAAAGCGGUACGCGAGCUGGGUUCAGAACGUCGUGAGACAGUUCGGUCCCUAUCCUCUGUGGGCGUAGGAGAUCUGAGGGAGGCUGCCCCUAGUACGAGAGGACCGGGGUGGACGGACCUCCGGUGCACGGGUUGUUCACCAAGAGCACUGCCCGGUAGCUGAGUCCGGUCGGGAUAACCGCUGAAGGCAUCUAAGCGGGAAGCCCGUCCCGAGAUGAGAUCUCCCUUCGGUAAGGCCACUCGUAGACCACGAGUUCGAUAGGCCGCAGGUGCAAGGCGGGCGACCGCCUCAGCCGAGCGGCACUAAUCGGCCGAGCUCCUCCGCAU